AUUGUUUUCAGUUAAAAUUAUGUUGUAUUACUGUUUUUCGCUCAACCUAUGUCAGUCCUGUCAGUACGGUUAGUGAGAAAACAAAAUGGCAGGAGCACACUUGACGUUUGACACUUGAGUUCACGUAAGUAUGUUUUGAAGUGUUUAUCAGAUUUGAGAAUGCCAUCGAAGUGCAGCGUCAGUGGAGAGGGGAGUUUGUUAGGUGGGUUGGUGGUUCAGUACCAAUCAGACGCAUUGUUGACAAGUUUGAGGUGCAUGGAACGAUUUGCGAUAUUCAUAAAGGAAGAUCAGGAAGAAUGCCUAUAUCAACAAGUCCUGCUUCAUCUGCUCUCGUGUUGGAAAAGUUUGAAACGUACCACAGAAGUCUGCUAUGCAAUCUGCACGGGAGGUGGGGGUUAGCACUACAAGUGUAUGAUGAAUUUUGAAAAACGCUAAGUGGAAAUGUUACAUUCCGCGAUUACUGCAUGUCAUUAAUGAUGAUGAUCCCGAUCGUUGAAUGCAAUUUUGUGAAUUGUGAUGAAGGUAGUGU
rnacentral:lncRNA from 1 species